CUGAGGUGUUAGAAAUAUUCUAUGCUUAGUUGAGGUGCUGGUUACAUGGGUACAUGCGGGCUUGAUCCCUGGGUGGGGAAGAUCCCCUGGAGUAGGGCAUGGCAACCCACUCCAGUAUUCUUGCCUGAGGAAUCCCAUGGACAGAGAAGCCUGGUGGGCUACAGUCCAUAGGGUCACAAAGAGUUGGACACUAAUGAAAUGACUUAGCAUGCAUGUCCCUAUCCAGUUGUAUAUUUUAUAUCUGUGUAUUUAAUUGUGUACAGGUUAUAUCUUAACUUCUUUUAAAAGAGGAAGAACGCAGGGGAAGAAUUAGGUCACAGGAUGUGGAGGAAAUUCUCAGUGGGAUACCUCCAAGCAAACAAUGCCAACUCCUCAGUUCGUUCAAGUAUUAUGAGUGCCACGGGGUCAGACACACUCAGCAAAACCACCGUGCUUUCAGAGACUCAAGCAGAAAGAUCUCUUCUGGAGAAUCUGGAAGCUUCCCAAAGGCUCCUUGUGAGGAGGUACUCAGGUGUACUUGUUAUCAUUUGAGCCAUUUGAGGAGUGCUGCAAAAAUAUCUACCGGCGAGAAGAAAAAUGUUCUCCUUAAUGAAUAGAUUCUUCCAGGUCCUAACUGCUGGGAAUGAAGUCGGCCACAGGGCUGGGCUGGGGAGCACAUGCCUUCACUGGACAACUGAGUUAGGUCUGGCCUCUUCCCCCCAGAACAGUGACCCCGGCUAAAGGCUAUUAUUUCACCGUUACAACUUCAUUUGUGUAGCCAGGAAAUCUUUCCUCUUCAAAGAUCUCCUUUUAAAGUAGACAUUCUCCCAAGCAAUUAAUAAUGAUGUCUUCUUUUUCACAUGUCAACUAGCUGGUUACACCGCCAUUCCCAUGCAUCAUCUCCUUGAUCCUCACCACAAGAUCAUGUGGAAGAAGUAUUAUUAUUAUUAAUAUUAUGAUCUCCACCUCUUUUUUGGAAGAGAGAGCCCACAGUUAUGUGUUCACCCAGACCACCUAAACGGUCCAGAGCAGAGCAGAACUAAGCAGGUGAAUCUUCCAGUAACAGGCUCCAUGUCCCUUCCAGGGUGCCAAGGCCCCCAGUCCUCAGAAUCCAAGUGAGGAUCGAUGGGCUGCUGGGAGAGCAGAAAGAGAACACAGGACCAGUGCCUGGGGAAAGCAGGAAGACUGCAUGUGGCAGGAUGCUGGGGAGUGAGCAGAGGGGUGAUAGGAAGGAAGGGGUGACCAGGUCCGCCUUCUCUGGCUCCAUUGUUUGGCAUAUCCACCCCCAUGCGUGCAAGCUCAGCUGCUCAAUUGUAUCUGACUCUUUGCAACGCCACUGACUGUAGUCCACCAGGCUCCUCUGUCCACGGGAUUUUCUAGGCAAGAAUACUGCAAUGGUUUGCCAUUUCCUCCCCCAGGGGAUCUUCCUGACCCAGGGAUCAGACUCGUGUCUCCUGCAUCUUCUGUACUGGCAGGCAGAUUCUUUACCACUGAACCACCUAGAAGGCCCAUAUCCAUCCCCAGAGAACCUUAAAUACCCCAGGAAUUCAGAACAUGCAUGUAGAUGAAACUACUUCACUGAGUCUUCCAGGCCAAUAAAUUGAAUAAAUUUUGAUUCA
rnacentral:lncRNA from 1 species